rnacentral:lncRNA from 1 species
UUGUAGGUCGUUCUUUCCUGUUCAACAUCUUCCAUAAUCUUCUAUUUGUUUUCUCUAGUGAAGUAGUUAUGGUGAGUCGUCUUCUUUUCUACUAGGAGGAAGAUGGCGUAAGAAUUUUGUUUUUGGAUAAAGAUGCAUGAAUGCAUGAAAAAUAUUUUCAUUUGACCUUUUUUUUCCUUUCUUUUUAUUAUACUUUUUUUCCCAAAAAAGAAAAUUUUCCAAGGAAUCCUUGAGUUUUUG